AACGGUAGAGGUUGCGCCAAUCAUUAUUAAGAAGUCGGAUGUGCCGUACACAGAUGAAGGCUUAAGAAAGGGUGAGGCGCCGAAGGAACGGUUUUUACGGAAGAUCGGAUCCUGGGCAUACGAUUAACAGUUGUAUGACUGUCAUCCCGAAAGGGAUGGGGAGCUAUCAA
rnacentral:ncRNA from 1 species